rnacentral:lncRNA from 10 species
AGCCUUGCUGGUGUAGCGAAGCCUCUUGGGACCUAACACAACAUCCCCUCAACUAUUUUUGGAAUGAAAGAAGAAAGGUGUGGAUAAAACAACCUCUCCAAAGCUCUCCUAGACUCAGAAGUUAGAGCUUCCACCUUUCCGCUGCUCUAGGGAUUGAUGUAGUGCUGCAGUUACAUCAGCAGAUCUCCAUGGACAGAGAUGGGGUGUGGUCUCUCUCUCCUUCAAGAGGAAGAUGAGUUUGAGUUUGUAAAAUUGCACCACCUAUACUCUCAUAGGCAACUUGAAGAAUUCUGAAAGUUCUGGUUGGUAUUAGAGGCAGAACUGUGGCCAAAGGAUUGCUUACGUUAAGUGUAUAUCUUCAUUACUACAGGAAGUGACUGAAGGAGGAACUCUAGCAAGAUGAAGGACUUGCACUAAGAAAGAAAUUAAGUCUGGGAAACGGGAUUCACCACAAAAGAUAGGCAAAGGAAAGUCACCGGAGAAGAACCCUGCAGCAGUCCAGAGAGCAACAGGCACAUCUUAGAGCAGGCUCUGGACAGGAUGUCUUCAGGAAAAAAA